GUGCUCACUUCAGCGGCACAUGUACUAAAAUCAAAAUGAUACAGAGAUUAGCAUGGCUCCUGUGCAAGGGUGACAUACAAACUGGAAGCAUUCCAUAUUUUA